CCAAAAUUAACCAUUUCACCCUUAGAAGAGAGCGCGCAUUCCGGAGAAACGUCCUUUCUUCCAUUCUUGCCAAAGUAGUUCUGAAUUUGGUUGGUUUAAACAAAAAGAUUAAUAAGAAAAUAAAUUCUCUAUAAUUCUGGUGAAUUUUAUGUUAAAAGUACUAAGUUGAAAAAACGAAUAAAUUUCAAAACGUAACAAAUUAUUGCUAUUAAACACUCGACUUACGAUUCAUAUCAUUGCCAAAACGAUCGCAAUGUGAAAUAAGCACAGUUUUCUUCUUGUUCUCAAGCAGAACAGGCAUUGAAUAUUAUAAAUUAUUAAUGCACAUCAUGAGGUUGUUCAAAAUCAAGGUCAUGUGUGCUUAACCAGCUCACAAAAAACCCCUUCUGGGUGCCAUUUAAAAAUGACCACAUCGUCAGCGUGCGGGUGUUUGUGAAUGUCAUUCCGGUGACGUCAGUCAAAAGCUAAUAAAACGGCGGAUUUCCAGCUCCUAAACAGGUGCUGAUAUUCUCAUUGGCAUCUUCAAGCUCACUCAACUGCAAAAAAAAAUCAUAGAGGCACCACACUAUCUAUUCACAUUGCAUUUCGACCGAUAUUGCACGUAGGUGCCCUUGCUACAUCAACAUGUUUCAGAGGUUGCACAUUCCAGCUGACGUCGUCGGAGGAUCAAUUGAUUCUACGCUCUGUAGCACACGCGUGACUUGUAAUUGAAUUAUAGUCCAUCUGAUAACAACUCCACACAAAACACCAACCAUCCAGGGUUACGAACUUUGAUCGAAUUCCAGCUGCAACACACAUCGGUGGAAACCAACAAGAACAAACGAAUAGAAAGUCCACAUCGACGUCCCGAAGUCAAUUCGCUUUCUUCACUUAACGAAAAGCCACCGAAAGUCACACGUUCACCGUUCGUUUGCUGAAGAUCGGAAGAAA